UUAACUGAAACCAAAAAGAGGUAUAUUAUUGUUAAUAAUAAAAUUGAAUGAACAUUCCUGUUAAG
rnacentral:tRNA from 1 species